CAAACAGACUCGAAAAUGUGUUAAGACUUUGAUGGUCAGUCAUAAAAGCAGAUAAAUAUUUCUCCGAAAUUUCACAUUUCACAGCUCAAAGAAUGGAGCGGAGCAGCGAGACGAGACGAGGUCAGCGAAUUGCAACACGAAUCAGAUAAAGUUGUUCUGGCCACUAUCAGCUGUAAUGAGGAUGAUUACGAUGAUCGGAUGGAAGGAGUGUGCCAGAUAAAAUGGCCAAAAGUCUGAUAAGAUCUCCCCCCAAAAACGAAGACGAUACUACAGCGAAACGGAAGUUAUUUUUGGUUGAAAUGCGUGUAAAUUUGGACAUGGUUAAUUAUACCAGCGUCUUUUUUAUUAAACUCAAGGUCGUAUUUGGCGUUAGUUUCAACAAAUAAUAACAAUCAACAGCCCACAAAGCGUUUAACAAAACAAAACUGGGCAU